CAAGCAGCCAUACCUAGAACAUAUUGAUGUAUCAAUAGAGAUAUAUGUUGAGGAGAUUUCAGCCUUCAUGAUUUGAGAUAUAGAAGCUAUGUGAAGAGCCAUGAGCAUCAAAUAGGAAAAGAAAAGAACUCUAUAAAUAUACCACUGAACAUUGCCAAGAUGAAUAGAAGAGUUGGAUGAAUUGUUUUGGCAAAACUUCAAC
rnacentral:lncRNA from 1 species